CUGAUUCCAUUCCGAACUCAGAAGUUAAGCCCUUCAGCGGCGAUGGUAUUGCAGAUGCGAGUCUGUGGGAGAGUAGCACGAUGCCAGUA
rnacentral:rRNA from 1 species